AGAUCGCGGUUCAGUUGUGGCAAC
rnacentral:siRNA from 1 species